rnacentral:rRNA from 1 species
AGCGUGUAGGCGGGUAGUUAAGUCAGAAGUGAAAUCCAAUAGCUCAACUAUUGAACUGCUUUUGAAACUGAUUACCUAGAAUAUGGGAGAGGUAGAUGGAAUUUCUGGUGUAGGGGUAAAAUCCGUAGAGAUCAGAAGGAAUACCGAUUGCGAAGGCGAUCUACUGGAACAUUAUUGACGCUGAGACGCGAAAGCGUGGGGAGCAAACAGGAUUAGAUACCCUGGUAGUCCACGCCCUAAACGAUGUACACUAGUUGUUGUGAGGCUCGACCUUGCAGUAAUGCAGUUAACACAUUAAGUGUACCGCCUGGGGAGUACGGUCGCAAGAUUAAAACUCAAAGGAAUAGACGGGGACCCGCACAAGCGGUGGAGCAUGUGGUUUAAUACGACGAUACACGAAGAACCUUACCUGGACUUGACAUAGUAAGAACUUUCUAGAGAUAGAUUGGUGUCUGCUUGCAGAAACUUAUAUACAGGUGCUGCACGGCUGUCGUCAGCUCGUGUCGUGAGAUGUUGGGUUAAGUCCCGCAACGAGCGCAAUCCUCGUCAUUAGUUGCUAACAGUUCGGCUGAGAACUCUAAUGAGACUGCCUACGCAAGUAGGAGGAAGGUGAGGACGACGUCAAGUCAUCAUGGCCCUUACGUCCAGGGCUACACACGUGCUACAAUGGGGUAUACAAAGAGCCGCAAUACGGUGACGUGGAGCAAAUCUCAAAAAUAUCUCCCAGUUCGGAUUGUAGUCUGCAACUCGACUACAUGAAGUUGGA